AAAGUCGUAACAAGGUUACCGUAGGUGAACCUGCGGUAGGAUCAUUAACAAUCCAAUACCUACCAAACCCAUGUGAACUACACUUGACUGUGGUGUCGGGCGACCGCGCUUGCCGCCUAGCUUGGCACCACUACCCAACAGAACCCCAAGUCAGCGUCAGCCCAAGUGUCUUGAAAUUUUAACAAAUCUCAAACAACUUUUAGCAACGGAUCUCUUGGCUCUC
rnacentral:misc_RNA from 1 species